AUUGAACGCUGGCGGCAGGCCUAACACAUGCAAGUCGAACGAGUGGCGGACGGGUGAGUAAUGGCUGGGAAACUGCCCGAUGGAGGGGGAUAACUACUGGAAACGGUAGCUAAUACCGCAUACCAUCGGAUGUGCCCAGAUGGGAGUAGCUAGUAGGUGGGGUAACGGGUCACCUAGGCGACGAUCCCUAGCUGGUCUGAGAGGAGGACCAGACACACUGGAACUGAGACAAGGUCCAGACUCCGACGUGAGGCAGCAGUGGGGAAUAUUGCACAAUGGGCGCAAGCCUGAUGCAGCCAUGCCGCGUGUAUGAAGAAGGCCUUCGGGUUGUAAAGUACGUUCAGCGAGGAGGCGUUACUCGCAGAAGAAGCACCGGCUAACUCCGUGCCAGCAGCCGCGGUAAUUC
rnacentral:rRNA from 1 species